GCUCCGAUCGUCUAGCCCGGUCCAGGACAAUGGCCUUUCGAGCCAUGAACACGGGUCCGAAUCCCGUUCGGAGCA
rnacentral:tRNA from 1 species